AAAAAAAAAAAAAAAAGAAAGGCAUAAUUACAGUUUUCAAAAAUUUAAUCUUUACUUCAUUGACGAUAUAUGAUAAGCUUCAACAAAGACAAUCAUAAGGCCUAUCAAUGUUAUCUCACAGAAUGUUUUCCCAGGCUUGCUAGCAAAGCACCCAAAUCUAAUUUAUUAGGUUUCAGAGACUUCAAUUCUAUCUUCCAAUCCGACGACUUCUCUGCAAAUUCAAAUAUCAAUUCCUUGUUCAUGCUUAAAAUUGUCCAAAGCAACUCCACAAAAAGAA
rnacentral:misc_RNA from 1 species